rnacentral:rRNA from 1 species
AUUGAACGCUGGCGGCAGGCCUAACACAUGCAAGUCGAGCGAGCGGCGGACGGGUGAGUAAUGCCUGGGAAUUGCCCAGUCGAGGGGGAUAACAGUUGGAAACUACUGCUAAUACCGCAACCUAUGUGAUCGCCCAUGUGGGAAUAGCUAGUUGGUGAGGUAAUGGCUCACAGAGGCGACGAUCCCGCGCUGUUCUCAGAGGAUGAUCAUCCACAUUGGAACUGAGACACGGUCCAGAAUCCUACGGGAGGCAGAAGUGGGGAAUAUUGCACAAGGGGGGAAACCCUGAUGCAGCCAUGCCGCGGGUAUGAAGAAGGCCUUCGGGUUGUAAAGCACUUUCAGCGGGGAGGCGUUACUCGCAGAAGAAGGAACGGCUAACUCCGUGCCAGCAGCCGCGGUAAUAC